GACGAACGCUGGCGGCGUGCCUAAUACAUGCAAGUUGAGCGCUGAAGGUUGGUACUUGUACCAACUGGAUGAGCAGCGAACGGGUGAGUACCGCGUGGGGAAUCUGCCUUUGAGCGGGGGACAACAUUUGGAAACGAAUGCUAAUACCGCAUAAAAACUUUAAACACAAGUUUUAAGUUUGAAAGAUGCAAUUGCAUCACUCAAAGAUGAUCCCGCGUUGUAUUAGCUAGUGGGUGAGGUAAAGGCUCACCAAGGCGAUGAUACAUAGCCGACCUGAGAGGGUGAUCGGCCACAUUGGGACUGAGACACGGCCCAAACUCCUACGGGAGGCAGCAGUAGGGAAUCUUCGGCAAUGGACGAAAGUCUGACCGAGCAACGCCGCGUGAGUGAAGAAGGUUUUCGGAUCGUAAAACUCUGUUGGUAGAGAAGAACGUUGGUGAGAGUGGAAAGCUCAUCAAGUGACGGUAACUACCCAGAAAGGGACGGCUAACUACGUG
rnacentral:rRNA from 1 species